CUCUUUGCCAUAACUUAAUUUCUCUAUGGUAAAAAUAUUUGACAUUUGAAAAUACAAGAAAAUUGUAUACUAUUUCUUCAUUUUUGGACAUUGGUUUUAAGGCAGCCCAGACUGGUGUCAUUUCAAAGGCUUCCUUACUCUCACUGCUGAUAUGAAUCCUGGCUGAAAAUUUGACUGGAACAUCUACGUGUGGCUUGUGCAUGUGGCCUGGCUCCAAGGGAACAGCUGGUUUCCAUGAAUGAAGCUCUGAGAGAAACAGGUGGAAGCUAUAUUGCCUUUAAAAAUCUAGCCUUGGAAGCCACAUAACAUCAUUUCUGCCAUAGUCAUAGGACUUCCUAGAUUCAAGAGGAAGGAAAGUUCUUCAUUGUUCUUUCUUCAUUUUUUUUAAUCUCUCCAGAACACAGCUUUGAGAAAAGGACUUCUUAAUAGAAAAGGGUCAUUGCCACAUUAUUAGACAAGUGCACAGGAUAAAGAAAGCUUGGUGCAGACACCUUGGAAAAUACAAUCUGCCUCAGUUUGGCAUGAUCUGAAGGAGUAAACUUUCUGACAGAAGCAAAGAACAGUUAGGUGAACCUGCCACUUGUUGUAUUUUUCCUGGCAGCAAAUUCAAAUUCUACUUUAAUGACUCAAGAGCUGAGCAGAACUUGGGGCAAUCUAAUAGAAUGUGGGAGACAGCAGUUGGAGUUCAGAUCCUGCCCAGGCAGAGGAGCCAAGUUUCUCUAGGAUUUGGAAACCAUCUGUGAGUAUUCUCAACUUACGGCAAUAUGGUUUUUGCAUCAGUGCAAUAAGAAUUCAUUUGUAUUUUGCAACAGGACACAAUUGGAGAGGUUAGUUAUUUUACCAUGGGUUUGAUUGGAAGGGUUUGCUUCCCUUUAAGAGUUAAUCUUGACUUGGAGAGAUAGUUAAAGCCCCAUGGGAGACUGGCCUGUUGUUCUUGCCUAUGCAGUCUCUGUACAGAAUUCCUGAUCUGUGGUCAAUAAGGAAUGUCACUUUCUAGGAGGUCCAGAAUCUCCAAGUUUAUUUUGAGACCAUAAAAGGAGAGGAUCACCCACCUCACAGGUAUCUGAGGAUUCAAACCCAUGGCUGGGCUCAAUUUUUCAAAGGUCUUAUCUGAGAUUCCCUGUAGAACAGUGUUCUAUCAAAGCCAAUCCAAAAGGCCUAUGUAGAAAUCAUUACUCUUGUUGCACUUUAUGUAAAUAAUCAAGGCCAAGUAUGUAAGACUAAAGUCUAUUUUUCAAACAACACAGUCCUAU
rnacentral:lncRNA from 13 species